rnacentral:tRNA from 1 species
UAUAUAUUAGUAUAAGGAAGUACAUAAAGUUUUGAUCUUUAAGGAGAUAGUUUAAUUCUAUUAUAUAUAA